rnacentral:rRNA from 4 species
GACUCUCGGCAACGGAUAUCUCGGCUCUCGCAUCGAUGAAGAACGUAGCGAAAUGCGAUACUUGGUGUGAAUUGCAGAAUCCCGUGAACCAUCGAGUCUUUGAACGCAAGUUGCGCCCGAAGCCACUAGGCCGAGGGCACGUCUGCCUGGGUGUCACGCAACGUCGCCAACGCCCGGU